rnacentral:rRNA from 1 species
UUGGUUAAGUUAGAAAGGGCGCACGGUGGAUGCCUUGGCACUAGGAGCCGAAGAAGGACGGGACUAACACCGAUAUGCUUUGGGGAGCUGUACGUAAGCGUUGAUCCAGAGAUUUCCGAAUGGGGGAACCCACUAUCUUUAGUCGGAUAGUAUCCUUACGUGAAUACAUAGCGUGAGGAAGGCAGACCCAGGGAACUGAAACAUCUAAGUACCUGGAGGAAGAGAAAGAAAAAUCGAUUUCCUGAGUAGCGGCGAGCGAAACGGAAAGAGCCCAAACCAAGAAGCUUGCUUCUUGGGGUUGUAGGACACUCUAUACGGAGUUACAAAAGAAAGUUAUAAAUGAAGCGGUCUGGAAAGGCCCGCCAAAGACGGUAACAGCCCGGUAGUUGAAAUAGCUUUCCCUCCAGAGUGGAUCCUGAGUACGGCGGAACACGUGAAAUUCCGUCGGAAUCCGGGAGGACCAUCUCCCAAGGCUAAAUACUCCCUAGUGACCGAUAGUGAACCAGUACCGUGAGGGAAAGGUGAAAAGCACCCCGGAAGGGGAGUGAAACAGUUCCUGAAACCGUGUGCCUACAAGUAGUUAGAGCCCGUUAAUGGGUGAUAGCGUGCCUUUUGUAGAAUGAACCGGCGAGUUACGAUUUGUUGCAAGGUUAAGCGGAAAAAGCGGAGCCGUAGCGAAAGCGAGUCUGAAUAGGGCGCAUAAGUAACAGGUCGUAGACCCGAAACCAGGUGAUCUACCCAUGUCCAGGAUGAAGGUAAGGUAAUACUUACUGGAGGUCCGAACCCACGCACGUUGAAAAGUGCGGGGAUGAGGUGUGGGUAGCGGAGAAAUUCCAAUCGAACUUGGAGAUAGCUGGUUCUCUCCGAAAUAGCUUUAGGGCUAGCCUCGAGGUAAAGAGUCAUGGAGGUAGAGCACUGUUUGGACUAGGGGCCCUUCUCGGGUUACCGAAUUCAGAUAAACUCCGAAUGCCAUGUACUUAUACUCGGGAGUCAGACUGCGAGUGAUAAGAUCCGUAGUCGAAAGGGAAACAGCCCAGACCACCAGUUAAGGUCCCCAAAUAUAUGUUAAGUGGAAAAGGAUGUGGGGUUGCUUAGACAACCAGGAUGUUGGCUUAGAAGCAGCCACCAUUGAAAGAGUGCGUAAUAGCUCACUGGUCGAGUGACCCCGCGCCGAAAAUGUACCGGGGCUAAACAUAUUACCGAAACUGUGGAUGAACCUCUUUAGAGGUUCGUGGUAGGAGAGCGUUCUAAGGGCGGUGAAGUCAGACCGGAAGGACUGGUGGAGCGCUUAGAAGUGAGAAUGCCGGUAUGAGUAGCGAAAGAAGGGUGAGAAUCCCUUCCACCGAAUAUCUAAGGUUUCCUGAGGAAGGCUCGUCCGCUCAGGGUUAGUCGGGACCUAAGCCGAGGCCGAUAGGCGUAGGCGAUGGACAACAGGUAGAGAUUCCUGUACCAGUGCUAAUUGUUUAACCGAUGGGGUGACACAGAAGGAUAGGGAAUCGCACGAAUGGAAAUGUGCGUCCAAGCAGUGAGUGUGAGAAGUAGGCAAAUCCGCUUCUCGCGAAGCAUGAGCUGUGAUGGGGAAGGAAAUUAAGUACGGAAGUUCCUGAUUUCACGCUGUCAAGAA